GACGAACGCUGGCGGCGUGCUUAACACAUGCAAGUCGAACGGGUCUGCCCUGUUUUUUGCGGGGUGGGUCAGUGGCGAACGGGUGAGUAACACGUGAGUAACCUGCCCCUCACUUCUGGAUAACCGCUUGAAAGGGUGGCUAAUACGGGGUGUUCUGGCUGUGCCGCAUGGUGUGGCUGGGAAAGAUUCACUUUUGUGGUGUUUUGGUGGGGGAUGGGCUCGCGGCCUAUCAGCUUGUUGGCGGGGUGAUGGCCUGCCAAGGCUUUGACGGGUAGCCGGCCUGAGAGGGUGGGCGGUCACACUGGGACUGAGAUACGGCCCAGACUCCUGCGGGAGGCAGCAGUGGGGGGUAUUGCACAAUGGGCGGAAGCCUGAUGCAGCGACGUCGCGUGAGGGAUGGAGGCCUUCGGGUUGUGAACCUCUUUCGCCGGUGAAGAAGGUCCUGCUCUUUGUGGUGGGGUUGACGGUAGCCGGGUUAUGAAGCGCCGGCUAACUACGUG
rnacentral:rRNA from 1 species